rnacentral:rRNA from 1 species
CGCGGCCUAUCAGCUUGUUGGUGAGGUAACGGCUCACCAAGGCGAUGACGGGUAGCUGGCGUGAGAGCGCGACCAGCCACACUGGGACUGAGACACGGCCCAGACUUCUACGGAAGGCAGCAGUAGGGAAUCUUGCGCAAUGGGCGAAAGCCUGACGCAGCGACGCCGCGUGCGGGAUGACGGCCCUAGUGGUUGUAAACCGCUUUCAGCAGGGACGAAAAUGACGGUACCUGCAGAAGAAGUCCCGGCUAACUACGUGCCAGCAGCCGCGGUAAUACGUAGGGGACAAGCGUUGUCCGGAUUCAUUGGGCGUAAAGAGCUCGUAGGCGGUUCAGUAAGUUGGGUGUGAAAGCUCCGGGCUCAACCCGGAGAGGCCACUCAAUACUGCUGUGACUAGAGUCCAGUAGAGGAGCGUGGAACUCCUGGUGUAGCGGUGAAAUGCGCAGAUAUCAGGAAGAACACCGGCAGCGAAGGCGGCGCUCUGGGCUGGUACUGACGCUGAGGAGCGAAAGCAUGGGUAGCAAACAGGAUUUGAUACCCUGGUAGUCCAUGCCGUAAACGUUGGGCACUAGGUGUGGGGAGGAAUCAACCCUCUCCGUGCCGUAGCUAACGCAUUAAGUGCCCCGCCUGGGGAGUACGG